UACGUAGGGGGCAAGCGUUGUCCGGAAUCAUUGGGCGUAAAGCGCGUGUAGGCGGUCCGAUUAGUCGGCUGUGAAAGUCAAGGGCUCAACCCUUGAAUGCCGGUCGAUACUGUCGGACUAGAGUCCGGAAGAGGCAAGUGGAAUUCCCGGUGUAGCGGUGAAAUGCGCAGAUAUCAGGAGGAACACCAAUUGCGAAGGCAGCUCGCUGGGACGUUACUGACGCUGAGACGCGAAAGCGUGGGGAGCAAACAGG
rnacentral:rRNA from 1 species